rnacentral:rRNA from 1 species
CCCCAGGGGCUUCCUUACCAUGCAUUCGACGGUGAAGCGCCGCGCUUGGCUCACGGAUGACUGGGGGUGGGUGUGUAUACGUGCGUAACCUGUCCUUCGGUCUGGGAUAUCCGCUGGAAACGGCGUCUAAUACUGGAUACGACCGUCCCUUGCAUGGGGUGUUGGCCUAAAAAUUUAUCGAUGGUGGAUGGACUCUUAUCCUAUCACCUUGUUGGUGGGGUAAUGGCCUACCAAUGUGACGAUGGUUUGACAGGCUGACCAGGCACACGGGGACUCUGAGACUGACACAACGCCUACACUCCGACGGGAGGCGGAAUUGGGGAAUAUGGGACAAUGCCUGAAACCCCGAUGCCGCGACCCCGCAUAAGGGAUUACGGUUUUAAAGUUGUUUACUUCUGUAAGAAAGGAAGAAGCUUUUGACCCCGUGCCUGCGAAAGAACCACCGGCUAACUACCUGCCAAACUACGCGGUAAUACCUACGGUGCUACCGUUGUCCGGAAUUAUUGGGCGAAUUACGCUUGUAAGCGGUUUGUCGCGUCUGCUGUGAAAAUCUAGGGCUUAUCCCUGGACUUGCCCUGGGUACUGCCAUACUGAAGUGUGGGCUGGAAUACUGGAAAUCCUGAUGUAAUUCUGGAUUGCGCAGAUAUCUGGAUGAACACCCAUAGCAACAGCAAGUCUCUAGGCCAUCACUGACGCUUAUACUGAAACUCAUGCGCAACGAACUGGAUUACAUACCCUGGUAGUCCAUGCGGUAGACGAUGCCCGCUACGCGUGCGUCUCAUUCCUCGAGAUCCGUGUGUAAACUAACGCAGUAACGCCCCACCUGGAGCGUACGGCCACUACGGCUCACACUGAUAAGAAAUUCACCGAGAAUGAAACGGA